AUGACUUCUAACCCUUUUCUUCCUCACUGAAUUCGUUCUCUCCCUCUUCACUCUCAAAAUGAAACCCGCUCAACUCUCUCUCGGCUCACACAAUCCGCCCGGCUCCCUCUCUUCUCCGGCGAAGCAGCGAACCAGCCGCCGCCCGUCGACUCACCACAUUAUCUUCCUCUCUCCUUUACCUCGGUCACCACCGCCCACCUGUGAGCGACGGCGCCGUCUCUCUCUUCCCAUAAACCCCUAGAUCCCCAAAUCUACCACCGCCUAAGGCUGCCGCCUGAAGUUUCCGGCGAGGAGUCCCUCAAGCAUCUCGCCUCCCUGACUCAAACAACGCACCGACCUCUAAACUCUUCCUUUCUCACUAAACUCCGGGAACCUCUCUCCUUCAACGGCGAAGAGUUUCGUUGCCUCCCUCUGGUUUCCGGCGAUUACAGCAAAGCCGCAACAGUCGCUUCUCUCUAAAAAAUCCCAGCGACAGCAACCCAUGGCUGCCGCCGUCCUGACCUCAACAAAUCCCCAGCCCAGACCAGCCACCGCCCCAGCCCCUGUUCUCUCCCUCGAAUUCCGGCGACCAGGGGACAGCCAUGGCCGCCGCCGUCAAUCCACUCUCCCGUGACUCGACUCAUCAGCAAGACUACCAACAGACUCGACACCUCAGACUUGAAGGCAAACAAAAACAAGAUCAAGACUCCAUUUUUCAACAGGCUUCAAAACUCUUCAGUCAUAAAGAUCUUUUCUUUUCUUUUCAAAGAAUCAUGCUUUCAUUUAUAAAUAUAUGCACAGACUAUGAAUAAAUAUGUAUAUUUUGGUAUAAAAGUUGUUUUAGAUGAAUUUCAGUGAAGGUAUGUAUGGCUGUGAUUCUUUGUUGGCUAGCUGUGAUUUGUGUUUGUGAAAGUAAUGGACGUGUCUCAUUCAAUAUUGUAAAAACAAGUCAUGUAGUUUAAAGGGAAGAAAAUGAAACCUUGUGAUAAUGGUGUGAUGAGGAAGAGUUCUUUGAAUGGUGGUCUCUUGUUGUAUACUUGAAACUCCAUGGAUAGGCUGGAACGAGAGNNNNNNNNNNNNNNNNNNNNNNNNNNNNNNNNNNNNNNNNNNNNNNNNNNNNNNNNNNNNNNNNNNNNNNNNNNNNNNNNNNNNNNNNNNNNNNNNNNNNNNNNNNNNNNNNNNNNNNNNNNNNNNNNNNNNNNNNNNNNNNNNNNNNNNNNNNNNNNNNNNNNNAGAGUAAGAGAAAAGGGUAUGGCAGAUAAUGAGUGUGAAUAAAUUGAAGGGAUGAUUUGACAAUUAAAAUCUCUCAUGGUUGAAUCAUUGGAACUGUAGAAUUUUCUCAGGGUUCGCUAAAUAAAUAUCUUGAUAAAUACUCAAUGCUCAAUGCUCAAUUUAAAUAAAUAUGCAAUGCAUAAGAAUUUAAAUAACUAAAUUUACAAAUAUAUUUUUGUAAAUCGUCUUUGUUGGAAUUAAAUAAAUUCAUUUCUUUUAUUCGGCGUGAAUCAUCUUCCUAUCUAAGUUCAAAAUUUUUCUAAACUUAGCUCGAGAGCGGGGCAUUACAUACUACCCCCCUUAAAAUAAAUUUCGUCCCGAAAUUUGCAUACCUGGUAUUCUAGCUUGUGAUACUAGUCAUUCGUUUCAUUCAUCUCUUUUGUAGCCUUUUCCAUCCUGUGAUGGUUCCACUACAUGACGAGAACAAUAUUAUUGCCUCGUAACACUUGAACCUUACAAUCUAGUCACUAAACUGAUUUCUCUUCAUAACUUAAGCCUUGAGCUUAAUUGGACUAUCUCAUCUUUCUUAAUCACAUACUUUUCUUAACUGCGAGACGUAAUAUUCAGUGUAUACAUACACAAUCCUCCACUAACCAUUAGUGCACUAUUCCUGACUUUCGUGAAUCCUUUCGUUUUUUUCUUAUUCUUGAGGUGAGACACAUUUUCUCACCAAUAUCCAUUUUCAUUUCGUGCUUUCAUAAUCCUUUCUUGCAAUUCACACUUAACUAUUGAUGCAACUACACAGCUUGAUAUUGUCUCCGGAUGGUGAACAAUUACUAAACCGAAUAAGGCAAUCACCAAUCAGUACUUUAUAUUUAGUGGUGAAACAUCUUAUCUUAAUUUCCAAUUGAUGGUACCAUCAUAAUUCUUCACUAAUUCGAAUCGUCUCUGUUGUCUUACAUUGAAAUCUCUUUGCUCGAAAAAGCACUUCAAAUUCUUGUCAGCUACAAGGACCUCACACUUAACUCCGUAGAGAUAGUGUCUCCAAAUUUCCAACACGUGCACAACCACAACGAGUUCUAAGUCAUAAGUCAGGUAAUUCAACUUUGGGGCUAAUGAGACAGAGUGCUCAAGUUCUAUGAAGUUUAAACAAAUACUUGCUUCCUAUUGAUGGAGCUUUUGACACUUUAGCCGAAACAAUCACCCUUCUAGCGUGAGGUUGUUGGCUCUGAGGCUGGGUUGGAUCUUAAGUCUUAUUCUAAGUCCUUUUUCUAUGCUCGAAGUUUCUGUUGUUUUCUUCAUUCCAUUUUCUUUCCUUCACCACAUCUUGAGGUGGUGUAUAUCCAGAUUGUGUCGGAGUCUUCCCAUUCUCCCUUGGUAGCAGUGAUUCGAUGGUGAGAGUCUUGCUCGUUGGUUGCUCAUACGUAAUAUUUCUUUGGCUUGAUAGGGGAAUUGAAUAUCUCAUGACGCCAUUCGUUUGCGAACUCCUUCACGCGUUUCUCAUAAGUGUCCACCAUAUUUGGAGCACGUCCUGACAUUUUGUUGAAAACUCUAUUAUACUAGUUAUCUGCCCCGAUUCUCCACUUGGGAUUCCAGAAGUUGCUUUGUUUCUACCGACUGACAGUCAAAAGACAGGUUGCUGCUUAGUGUAUCUUUCUAACUAUGAGAAUAUCACCUUCUAGUACUUCGAGAACUAACAGCAAACUAAGUCAUUCUAGUCAUUACUGUGCUUAUCGUGAUAAAAGAAGAUCUUAUUGUGACAACUACAUAGUGUGAGUCCAUGCAUUGGGAUGACGCUCUACUCAAGGUCAAAAUCCUAAUUGACAAUCACCGAGAUCUUAGUUAUGUGGGCUGGCCAGACCCAGCACAACGAAUCACUCAGUCAAAUGGGAGCUUCGCCCCCAAUCAUGUCAACUUCUUAUCUCUUUAUAAAGCUCUAAGUCAACUUCUAACUUAAAGCACUUACUUCUAAGUACUUCAAUCAUAAUCAUUGGUACCAUAUAAGCCCAUUCUAUGCCGUUCUAGCGGUGCUAUCACGACUAACAUUCGUAAGACAUUAUUAGGUAGUUCUCAAACGGUUUGUAAAAGAACCCAUCAUUCUAAUCAUAGGCAGUGAACCUAAAAUGAUAACAUAAAACUUUCACAUUCAUUCAUACAUACAUACAUACAUACAUACAUUUGCUUUCUUUAAAACUGAGUCAUAUGGACAUUAAAUGCCCCUUUCAUGAACAAUUUUGGCUUAUGCCGGAAAGAUUCAAGGAAUCUAACUCGACCAUACAUACAUACAUUGAUUCGUUAAGGGCUCGGGUAGUCCCAAACACGACAUUGAGCUUAGUUAUAUGAGUCAGAGACCCAAAAUAACAACAUGAAGAAUAAUUUGCAAUUCACAUAACAUCAUGAACAUAAGGCGAACAUUUUCUUGAAAACUUUCAUAACAUCUUAAAUACACAUAUGUAUAUAUUUUUUUUAAACUAUUAUCGUACCUUAGUUGCGGCAGUGUGACGGCGAGCUGAGGGCUACUGACAUUCUUAGAACUCUAGAGAUACUAUUCUAGACUCGACAUAAAAAAAAAAGCUUAUGGUUAUCAGAGACAUGGAAGGAAACUUAUGCUCUGAUACCAUUCUGUCACACCCCAAUUCUUGAAGGAAUAAAUACAAUCGAGGUGCAACCAUUUUAUAGGAAUAACAUAAGGAAAAAUCCUUAUUGAACCCGAUUAAUAAGAUAACAAGUCGGGCUAGUCCCCUUUGGAUCACAAGUUUUGUUUCAUGCUUCUGACAACCGACAUUCAUUAGCAUAAAUUUAGGAGUUAAGAGUCUAAACUCGAUCAUGGAUAUUAUUUAGUGCUACAGCGGAAGUCUUAAUAGGAAGUUGAACCCUAGCCUCAGCUCCGUCCCGUCAGCACCAGCCAGCCAACCUGAAAACAUUUGAAAGUAUUUUUGGGCUAAGUACUAAUGUACUCAGUGGGCAUGCAUUUUCUGAAACAUUUCAUAUUUUCGUAAAGACAGUUUAUCCAAUUACAAUUGACAUAACUUAGAAGGUUUUAAAUUGAAAGAACUUCUAAGCAUGUUAAAACAUUUUUCAUUUAUGCGCACAUGUCACACUCCCUUUCCGUUACUCGCUGUGAUCCCGGACCUUUUAGCCACCGACGGAUCCAUUACUCCCGCUUGCUUGAACUGAGGGCGUAACCCAGCCAAGUUCCCAUUUGGGACCCAAUGCUCCGGAACACAUCCCGUCGAGCACCCUUAUAACGCCUCAUACAUGAUUAGUGCCCGAUGGAGAUCAACCCACCAGGUCAGCUAAUAGGUGUACACAAUUCUCAAAUAACGUGUUAGGUCAAGAGAGAACCUCGAUCGAUUCAUUGUUGCGAGCCUUAAACGGAGCAGAGUGCACAAAAUAUUUUAUUGGAUAAACAAUUUGCAUUUCAUUAAAUAAACAGUUUGCAAUUCAUUGAAACAUUUAGAGCUUAAUAACUCAAUCAUACUUUAUACAUUUGGAAAGUAAGCCCACCUGGUUAGGCAAAGCCUGAAGAUCAUAAUCACAUAAAUUCAUCUCGGAGAAGGAGCGCUAAUCUCCUUGGUUCACAAAACCUACAAGAAAUUCUACUCUUAAUAGGUCUCGUGAAGCUAAUCUUACUUCUUAGUGGAUGUACUAAACAUACUUGAUUCAUCACGCCGGGUUUUCAAAAUUUAAUAAAUAUUUGAAAACUAAAAUUCUUAAGUCAAGGACCCCACAAUAUCCUUACUCGAUUUUCUUUAAUAAUUAAAUUAUAAAUAAAACCAAUUAAAUCAUAAAUGCUUUUAUUGCAAAAUGCAAAUGCAAUACAUGUCAUGCUUUAAACAUAUGAUAAGUAAUUACUUAAAAUAUGCACAUAAUAAUAAUAUAAUAUUAUUAUGCAAAUUGUUCUUUAAAAAUAAUUAAUCAAACCAAUAGUAGUUUAAUUAAAUAACUUUAGUGAAAAACAUUUUAAUGAAAUAUGCACAGCCCAUUUAUAUUAAAUAGUGAUAGCCCAUACUUAAACAUAUGCAGCCCAUCCUUUAAAAAAAAUCAGAGGCCCAACAUAAUUGAAUAAAAACCGGCCCAACAACUUUACAAAUUCGGCCCAGCUCUCUAAGGCCCAAACUCAGCCCAUGACUUCUAACCCUUUUCUUCCUCACUGAAUUUGUUCUCUCCCUCUUCACUCUCAAAAUGAAAUCCGCUCAACUCUCUCUCGGCUCACACAAUCCUCCCGGCUCCCUCUCUUCUCCGGCGAAGCAGCGAACCAGCCGCCGCCCGUCAUCUCCUGCCCGACUCACCACAUCAUCUUCCUCUCUCCUUUACCUCGGUCACCACCGCCCACCUGUGAGCGACGGCGCCGUCUCUCUCUUCCCAUAAACCCCUAGAUCCCCAAAUCUACCACCGCCUAAGGCUGCCGCCUGAAAUUUCCGGCGAGGAGUCCCUCAAGCCUCUCGCCUCCCUGACUCAAACAACGCACCGACCUCUAAACUCUUCCUCUCUCACUAAACUCCGGGAACCUCUCUCCUUCAACGGCGAAGAGUUUCGUUGCCUCCCUCUGGUUUCCGGCGAUUACAGCAAAGCCGCAACAGUCGCUUCCCUCUCAAAAAUCCCAGCGACAGCAACCCAUGGCUGCCACCGUCCUGACCUCAACAAAUCCCCAGCCCAGACCAGCCACCGCCCCAACCCCUGUUCUCUCCCUCGAAUUCCGGCGAUCAGGGGACAGCCGUGGCCGCCGCCGUCAAUCCACUCUCCCGUGACUCGACUCAUCAGCAAGACUACCAACAGACUCGACACCUCAGACUUGAAGGCAAGCAAAAACAAGAUCAAGACUCCAUUUUUCAACAGGCUUCAAAACUCUUCAGUCAUAAAGAUCUUUUCUUUUCUUUUCAAAGAAUCAUGCUUUCAUUUAUAAAUAUAUGCAC
rnacentral:lncRNA from 1 species